UACGUAGGGUGCGAGCGUUGUCCGGAAUUAUUGGGCGUAAAGAGCUCGUAGGCGGUUUGUCGCGUCGACUGUGAAAACCUGGGGCUUAACUCUGGGCCUGCAGUCGAUACGGGCAGACUUGAGUUCGGUAGGGGAGACUGGAAUUCCUGGUGUAGCGGUGAAAUGCGCAGAUAUCAGGAGGAACACCGGUGGCGAAGGCGGGACUCUGGGCCGAUACUGACGCUGAGGAGCGAAAGCGUGGGGAGCGAACAGG
rnacentral:rRNA from 1 species